rnacentral:rRNA from 1 species
AGAGUUUGAUCAUGGCUCAGAAUCAACGCUGGCGGCGUGCCUAACACAUGCAAGUCGAACGAGAAAGUGGAGCAAUCCAUGAGUACAGUGGCGACCGGGUGAGUAACACGUGACCAACCUGCCCUCGAGUGGGGAAUAACCCCGGGAAACCGGGGCUAAUACCGCAUAACAUCGCAAGAUCAAAGCAGCAAUGCGCUUGAGGAGGGGGUCGCGGCUGAUUAGCUAGUUGGUAGGGUAAUGGCCUACCAAGGCGAAGAUCGGUAUCCGGCCUGAGAGGGCGCACGGACACACUGGAACUGAAACACGGUCCAGACUCCUACGGGAGGCAGCAGUGGGGAAUUUUGCGCAAUGGGGGAAACCCUGACGCAGCAACGCCGCGUGGAGGAUGAAGUCCCUUGGGACGUAAACUCCUUUCGACCCGGACGAUACUGACGGUACGGGUGGAAGAAGCACCGGCUAACUCUGUGCCAGCAGCCGCGGUAAUACAGAGGGUGCGAGCGUUGUUCGGAGUUAUUGGGCGUAAAGGGCGCGUAGGCGGCGCGGUAAGUCACCUGUGAAAUCUCCUGGCUCAACUGGGAGCUUGCAGGCGAAACUGCCGUGCUGGAGUGUGGGAGAGGUGCGUGGAAUUCCUGGUGUAGCGGUGAAAUGCGUAGAUAUCAGGAGGAACACCUGUGGCGAAAGCGGCGCACUGGACCACAACUGACGCUGAGGCGCGAAAGCUAGGGGAGCAAACAGGAUUAGAUACCCCCGUAGUCC